rnacentral:rRNA from 1 species
UUCGCAAUGCCCGAAAGGGUGACGAAGCGACGCCGCGUGGGUGAGGAAGGCCCUCGGGUUGUAAAGCCCUGUCAGGAGUUAAGAAAUGUAGAUACGCUAAUAUCGUAUCUAUUUGACAAAGGCUCCAAAGGAAGCCACGGCUAACUCUGUGCCAGCAGCCGCGGUAAUACAGAGGUGGCAAGCGUUGUUCGGAAUUAUUGGGCGUAAAGAGCACGUAGGUGGAUUUGUAAGUCAGAUGUGAAAGCCUUCUGUUCAACGGAAGAAUUGCAUCUGAAACUACAAACCUUGAGUUUAGGAGGGGAGAAUGGAACUUCUGGUGGAGCGGUGAAAUGCGUAGAUAUCAGAAGGAACGCCGGCGGCGAAAGCGAUUCUCUGGCCUAUUACUGACACUCAGUGUGCGAAAGCUAGGGGAGCAAACGGGACUAGAUACCCCGGUAGUCCUAGCCGUAAACGAUGGGCACUAAGUAGAGGGGUUUU